rnacentral:lncRNA from 1 species
UUUUAUUUUUUUAUUUUGUUUUAAUUGAGUCUUAUUUUUUUUUAAAUUGAAUUAAUUAGGCUCUUGUCAUUAGUUUCAUAUUAAUACACUUCAAGAGAGUGUUUGAUUGCGAUUUUUUUUGAAUUUUUGAAUUAUUUUAAUUUUAAUUUUUAAAAAAAUAAAAUAAUUACCACGUGCCAAGCAAAUAUUAUGUCACAUGAC